rnacentral:rRNA from 1 species
UACGGAGGGUGCAAGCGUUAUCCGGAUUCACUGGGUUUAAAGGGUGCGUAGGCGGGCAGGUAAGUCAGGGGUGAAAUCUCCGGGCUUAACCCGGAAACUGCCGUUGAUACUAUCUGUCUUGAAUGUCGUGGAGGUGAGCGGAAUAUGUCAUGUAGCGGUGAAAUGCUUAGAUAUGACAUAGAACACCAAUUGCGAAGGCAGCUGGCUACACAUAUAUUGACACUGAUGCACGAAAGCGUGGGGAUCAAACAGG